ensembl:snRNA U6 U6 spliceosomal RNA
GUGCUCACUUUGGCAGCACAUAUACUAAAACUGGAAUGAUAGAGAUUAGCAUGGCUCCUGUGUAAGGACGACAAACAAAUUCGUGAAGCCUUCCAUAUUUUU